GACGAACGCUGGCGGCGUGCCUAAUACAUGCAAGUAGAACGCUGAAGAGAGGAGCUUGCUCUUCUUGGAUGAGUUGCGAACGGGUGAGUAACGCGUAGGUAACCUGCCUUGUAGCGGGGGAUAACUAUUGGAAACGAUAGCUAAUACCGCAUAACAAUGGAUGACACAUGUCAUUUAUUUGAAAGGGGCAAUUGCUCCACUACAAGAUGGACCUGCGUUGUAUUAGCUAGUAGGUGAGGUAAUGGCUCACCUAGGCGACGAUACAUAGCCGACCUGAGAGGGUGAUCGGCCAAACUGGGACUGAGACACGGCCCAGACUCCUACGGGAGGCAGCAGUAGGGAAUCUUCGGCAAUGGGGGCAACCCUGACCGAGCAACGCCGCGUGAGUGAAGAAGGGUUUCGGAUCGUAAAGCUCUGCUGUAAGUCAAGAACGGGUGUGAGAGUGGAAAGUUCACACUGUGACGGUAGCUUACCAGAAAGGGACGGCUAACUACGUG
rnacentral:rRNA from 1 species